GGGGGUGUGGCUCAGUGGGUAAGCGCCCCUGGGUUCAAUUCCCAGUACCACCAAAAAAAAAAAAAAAAACCAACUUCCUUGAGUCAGAGCAAUACAGAANGCUGGGGGUGUGGCUCAGUGGGUAAGCGCCCCUGGGUUCAAUUCCCAGUACCCCCA
rnacentral:tRNA from 1 species